rnacentral:rRNA from 1 species
UUGAACGCUGGCGGCAGGCCUAACACAUGCAAGUCGAGCGGUAGCACAGAGAGCUUGCUCUCGGGUGACGAGCGGCGGACGGGUGAGUAAUGUCUGGGAAACUGCCUGAUGGAGGGGGAUAACUACUGGAAACGGUAGCUAAUACCGCAUAAUGUCGCAAGACCAAAGUGGGGGACCUUCGGGCCUCAUGCCAUCAGAUGUGCCCAGAUGGGAUUAGCUAGUAGGUGGGGUAACGGCUCACCUAGGCGACGAUCCCUAGCUGGUCUGAGAGGAUGACCAGCCACACUGGAACUGAGACACGGUCCAGACUCCUACGGGAGGCAGCAGUGGGGAAUAUUGCACAAUGGGCGCAAGCCUGAUGCAGCCAUGCCGCGUGUGUGAAGAAGGCCUUCGGGUUGUAAAGCACUUUCAGCGGGGAGGAAGGCGUUAAGGUUAAUAACCUUGGCGAUUGACGUUACCCGCAGAAGAAGCACCGGCUAACUCCGUGCCAGCAGCCGCGGUAAUACGGAGGGUGCAAGCGUUAAUCGGAAUUACUGGGCGUAAAGCGCACGCAGGCGGUCUGUCAAGUCGGAUGUGAAAUCCCCGGGCUCAACCUGGGAACUGCAUUCGAAACUGGCAGGCUAGAGUCUUGUAGAGGGGGGUAGAAUUCCAGGUGUAGCGGUGAAAUGCGUAGAGAUCUGGAGGAAUACCGGUGGCGAAGGCGGCCCCCUGGACAAAGACUGACGCUCAGGUGCGAAAGCGUGGGGAGCAAACAGGAUUAGAUACCCUGGUAGUCCACGCCGUAAACGAUGUCGAUUUGGAGGUUGUGCCCUUGAGGCGUGGCUUCCGGAGCUAACGCGUUAAAUCGACCGCCUGGGGAGUACGGCCGCAAGGUUAAAACUCAAAUGAAUUGACGGGGGCCCGCACAAGCGGUGGAGCAUGUGGUUUAAUUCGAUGCAACGCGAAGAACCUUACCUGGUCUUGACAUCCACAGAACUUUCCAGAGAUGGAUUGGUGCCUUCGGGAACUGUGAGACAGGUGCUGCAUGGCUGUCGUCAGCUCGUGUUGUGAAAUGUUGGGUUAAGUCCCGCAACGAGCGCAACCCUUAUCCUUUGUUGCCAGCGGUUAGGCCGGGAACUCAAAGGAGACUGCCAGUGAUAAACUGGAGGAAGGUGGGGAUGACGUCAAGUCAUCAUGGCCCUUACGACCAGGGCUACACACGUGCUACAAUGGCAUAUACAAAGAGAAGCGACCUCGCGAGAGCAAGCGGACCUCAUAAAGUAUGUCGUAGUCCGGAUUGGAGUCUGCAACUCGACUCCAUGAGUCGGAAUCGCUAGUAAUCGUAGAUCAGAAUGCUACGGUGAAUACGUUCCCGGGCCUUGUACACACCGCCCGUCACACCAUGGGAGUGGGUUGCAAAAGAAGUAGGUAGCUUAACCUUCGGGAGGGCGCUUACCACUUUGUGAUUCAUGACUGGGGUG